GAUGAACGCUGGCGGCGUGCCUAAUACAUGCAAGUCGAGCGAACAGACGAGGAGCUUGCUCCUCUGACGUUAGCGGCGGACGGGUGAUUAACACGUGGAUAACCUACCUAUAAGACUGGGAUAACUUCGGGAAACCGGAGCUAAUACCGGAUAAUAUAUUGAACCGCAUGGUUCAAUAGUGAAAGACGGUUUUGCUGUCACUUAUAGAUGGAUCCGCGCCGCAUUAGCUAGUUGGUAAGGUAACGGCUUACCAAGGCAACGAUGCGUAGCCGACCUGAGAGGGUGAUCGGCCACACUGGAACUGAGACACGGUCCAGACUCCUACGGGAGGCAGCAGUAGGGAAUCUUCCGCAAUGGGCGCAAGCCUGACGGGGCAACGCCGCGUGAGUGAUGAAGGUCUUCGGAUCGUAAAACUCUGUUAUUAGGGAAGAACAAAUGUGUAAGUAACUAUGCACGUCUUGACGGUACCUAAUCAGAAAGCCACGGCUAACUACGUG
rnacentral:rRNA from 1 species